rnacentral:lncRNA from 1 species
GAAUCUGGCAACGUCCAAUUUGAAUUAUUGUCGUCCUCUUUAUCUCUUCUAGAUUUUUUUUUGCGGAAAUCUCUUCUUGAUUUUAGAUUCAUCAACCAGGGUAUCAUUUCCAACCGUCAGUGUCCUAGCUGGAGAUCACUUCCUUUUUUUGCGUAUGUCCUUCCUUAUCUUUUCCAUCCUUAAAUUAUAAGAUACGUAGCAGCGCGCACAUGUAUAUAAAAAUAUUAUCCUUCUUUAUUUCUCUUGUGAAGAGUCUCUGGUUCCUUCCUUAUUUACCAUGAUCUCUGAGAGACUUCCUGAUACCCAGGAAAUGAAUGAUGUAUAUAAAUAAGAUAGAUUGGAUGUAAAUCAGCUAGGUGGGACUAGUCAAUAUCGGCCUCAACCUUCCCUUGUAGACACAGGACGUUAGCUUAGUUGACCUUGAUUUUUGCUUCUUAACCGGGAUAGAUGGGCCUCAACUUUCCCUUGUACACACAGGACGUUAGCUUAGUUGGCCUUGAUUUUUGCCUCUUAACCGGGAUAGAUGGGCCGGUUUUCUGGACCAUGACACAUGGGUUGGUUCGUUCGCUCGGCCUCGCUGGCUAACGAAGGAAACUGACGUACGAAAUAGCGGACGGAUGAAACGGACGAAAAUUAGGGCGUAAGAAGCGUUUCGUGCUUUAUUAUUAGGUAAAGAUGUGUAGGUCCUGUUGUUGUCCAAUAGAGACAUAUCACCUGGAACCAUAAAUAUCUAGUGGUGAUACUGUUGAAACUUGAAACUGGAGCGAGUUAUUUGGUGUGGCUCAACAUGUCAUAGCAAUAUGGUGCCUAGAGCAGCUUAUCUUCUUAUGUCUUAUUAUUUGGCACAAACCAAACUUCAUUAUAUUAAGUAUUCACGUUUCUAAAGACAAAUUGUUUCGUAUUCUGUCUCCGUGGGUUUCAUUGUAUAUGCUUUCCAUGUGUGUUAAAAAUUCAGUUAAAAAUAGCAAAUUCAGGCACAUGUCAUGUUUCGAAUCUGGCAACGUGCAAUUUGAAUUACUGUCGUCCUCUUUAUCUCUUCUAGAUUUUUUUUGCGGAAAUCUCUUCUAGAUUUUAGAUUCAUCAACCAGGGUAUGAUUUCCAACCGUCAAUGUCCUAGCAGGAGAUCACUUCCUUUUUUUGUGUAUGUCCUUCCUUAUCUUUUCCAUCCUUAAAUUAUAAGAUACGUAGCAGCGCGCACAUGAAUAUAUAAAUAUUAUCCUUCUUUAUUUCUCUUGUGAAGAGCCUCUGGUUCCUUCCUUAUUUAUCAUGAUCUCUGAGAGACUUCCUGAUACCCAGGAAAUGAAUGAUGUAUAUAAAUAAGAUAGAUUGGAUGUAAAUCAGCGAGGCGGGACUAUUCAAUAUCGGCCUCAACCUUCCCUUGUAGACACAGGACGUUAGCUUAGUUGGCCUUGAUUUUUGCCUCUUAACCGGGAUAGAUGGGCCUCAACUUUCCCUUGUACACACAGGACGUUAGCUUAGUUGGCCUUGAUUUUUGCCGCUUAACCGGGAUAGAUGAGCCUGAUUUUCUGGACCAUGACACAUGGGUUGGUUCGUUCGCUCGGCCUCGCUGGCCGACGAAGGAAACUGACGUACGAAAUAGCGGACGGACGAAACGGACGAAAAUCAGGGCGUAAGAAGCGUUUCGUGCUUUAUUAUUAGGUAAAGAUGUGUAGGUCCUGUCGUUGUCCAAUAAAGACAUAUCACCUGGAACCAUAAAUAUCUAGUGGUGAUACUGUUGAAACUUGAAACUGGAGCGAGUUAUUUGGUGUGGCUCAACAUGUCAUAGCAAUAUGGUGCCUAGAGCAGCUUAUCUUCUUCUGUCUUAUUAUUUGGCACAAACCAAACUUUAUUAUAUUAAGUAUGCACGUUUCUAAAGACAAAUUGUUUCGUAUUCUGCUUCCGUGGGUUUCAUUGUAUAUGCUUGCCGUGUGUGUUAAAAAUUCAGUUAAAAAUAGCACAUUCAGGCACAUGUCAUCUUUCGAAUCUGGCAACGUGCAAUUUGAAUUAUUGUCGUCCUCUUUAUCUCUUCUAGAUUUUUUUUGCAGAAAUCUCUUCUAGAUUUUAGAUUCAUCAACCAGGGUAUCAUUUCCAACCGUCAAUGUCCUAGCAGGAGAUCACUUCCUUUUUUUGCGUAUGUCCUUCCUUAUCCUUUCCAUCUUUAAAUUAUAAGAUACAUAGCAGCGCGCACAUGUAUAUAGAAAUAUUAUCCUUCUUUAUUUCUCUUGUGAAGAGCCUCUGGUUCCUUCCUUAUUUAUCAUGAUCUCUAAGACUUCCUGAUAUCCAGGAAAUUAAUGAUGUAUAUAAAUAAGAUAGAUUGGAUGUAAAUCAGCGAGGUGGGACAAUUCAAUAUCGGCCUCAACCUUCCCUUGUAGACACAGGACGUUAGCUUAGUUGGCCUUGAUUUUUGCCUCUUAACCGGGAUAGAUGAGCCUCAACUUUCCCUUGUACACACAGGAUGUUAUCUUAGUUGGCCUUGAUUUUUGCCUCUUAACCAGGAUAGAUGGGCCGGAUUUUCUGGACCAUGACACAUGGGUUGGUUCGUUCGCUCGGCCUCGCUGGCUGACGAAGGAAACUGACGUACGAAAUAGCGGACGGACGAAAUGGACGAAUAUCAGGGUGUAAGAAGCGUUUCGUGCUUUAUUAUUAGGUAAAGAUGUGUAGGUCCUGUUGUUGUCCAAUAGAGACAUAUCACCUGGAACCAUAAAUAUCUAGUGGUGAUACUGUUGAAACUUGAAACUGGAGCGAGUUAUUUGGUGUGGCUCAACAUGUCAUAGCAAUAUGGUGCCUAGAGCAGCUUAUCUUCUUAUGUCUUAUUACUUGGCACAAACCAAACUUUAUUAUAUUAAGUAUUCACGUUUCUAAAGACAAAUUGUUUCGUAUUCUGCUUCCGUGGGUUUCAUUGUAUAUGCUUGCCGUGUGUGUUAAAAAUUCAGUUAAAAAUAGAAAAU